UACGGUAGGGUGCAAGCGUUGUCCGGAAUUAUUGGCGUAAAGAGCUCGUAGGCGGUCUGUCGCGAUCGGGCUGUCGAAAACCCGGGGCUCAACCCCGGGCCUGCAGUCGAUACGGGCAGGACUAGAGUGCGGUAGGGGAGAACUGGAAUUCCUGGUGUAGCGGUGAAAUGCGCAGAUAUCAAGGAGGGAACACCGGUGGGCGAAGGCGGGUCUCUGGGCCGUAACUGACGCUGGAGGAGCGAAAGCGUGGGGAGCGAACAGG
rnacentral:rRNA from 1 species